AACGCGAAGAACCUUACCUACCCUUAACAUCCCGUGCUAGUGGCAGAGAUGUCAUGUUCUCUUCGGAGACGCGGUGAUAGGUGCUGCAUGGCUGUCGUCAGCUCGUGUUGUAAGAUGUCUGGUUAAGUCCAAUAACGAGCGCAACCCCUGUCUUUAGUUGCCCGCAUUAAGUUGGGAACUCUAAAGAGACUGCCGGUGUUAAACCGGAGGAAGGCGGGGACGACGUCAAGUCCUCAUGGCCCUUACGGGUAGGGCUACACACGUACUACAAUGGCAGAAACAGACCGCAGCAAGAUCGCGAGAUGGAGCUAAUCGGUAAAACACUGCCUCAGUUCGGAUUGGAGUCUGCAACUCGACUCCAUGAAGUUGGAAUCGCUAGUAAUCGCUGAUCAGCAAGCAGCGGUGAAUACGUUCCCGGGCCUUGUACACACCGCGUGUCU
rnacentral:rRNA from 1 species